UACGUAGGCAGCAAGCGUUGUUCGGAAUUACUGGGCGUAAAGCGUGUGUAGGCGGUGUCAUAAGUUUGGUGUGAAAUCUCCCGGCUUAACUGGGAGGGUGCGCCGAAGACUGUGAUGCUCGAGUGUGGGAGAGGUAAGCGGAAUUCCUGGUGUAGCGGUGAAAUGCGUAGAGAUCGGAAAGAACACCAACGGCGAAAGCACUCUGCUGGGCCGACACUGACACUGAGAGACGAAAGCUAGGGGAGCGAAUGGG
rnacentral:rRNA from 1 species